UACAGAGGGUGCGAGCGUUGUCCGGAAUCACUGGGCGUAAAGGGCGCGUAGGUGGCCUGAUAAGUAGGGGGUGAAAUCUCGAGGCUCAACUUCGAGGCUGCCUCCUAAACUGUCAGGCUUGAGCAGAGUAGAGGCAGGUGGAAUUCCUGGUGUAGCGGUGAAAUGCGCAGAUAUCAGGAGGAACACCAAUGGCGAAGGCAGCUCGCUGGGACGGUACUGACGCUGAGGCGCGAAAGCGUGGGGAGCAAACAGG
rnacentral:rRNA from 1 species